rnacentral:rRNA from 1 species
GGGGAAUUUUCCGCAAUGGGCGAAAGCCUGACGGAGCAAGACCGCGUGAGGGAGGAAGGCUCUUGGGUUGUAAACCUCUUUUCUCAGGGAAGAACACAAUGACGGUACCUGAGGUAUCAGCCUCGGCUAACUCCGUGCCAGCAGCCGCGGUAAUACGGAGGAGGCAAGCGUUAUCCGGAAUUAUUGGGCGUAAAGCGUCCGUAGGUGGUCAUGUAAGUCGGUCGUCAAAGCACAGGGCUUAACCCUGUAAUGGCGGUGGAAACUGCACGACUAGAGAGAGGUAGGGGUAGAGGGAAUUCCCAGUGUAGCGGUGAAACGCGUAGAGAUUGGGAAGAACAUCGGUGGCGAAAGCGCUCUACUGGACCUCAUCUGACGCUGAUGGACGAAAGCUAGGGGAGCGAAUGGGAUUAGAUACCCCAGUAGUC